GUGGGGAAUUUUGGACAAUGGGCGAAAGCCUGAUCCAGCCAUGCCGCGUGCAGGAUGAAGGCCUUCGGGUUGUAAACUGCUUUUGUACGGAACGAAAAGACUCCUUCUAAUAAAGGGGGUCCAUGACGGUACCGUAAGAAUAAGCACCGGCUAACUACGUGCCAGCAGCCGCGGUAAUACGUAGGGUGCAAGCGUUAAUCGGAAUUACUGGGCGUAAAGCGUGCGCAGGCGGUUAUAUAAGACAGAUGUGAAAUCCCCGGGCUCAACCUGGGAACUGCAUUUGUGACUGUAUAGCUAGAGUACGGUAGAGGGGGAUGGAAUUCCGCGUGUAGCAGUGAAAUGCGUAGAUAUGCGGAGGAACACCGAUGGCGAAGGCAAUCCCCUGGGCCUGCACUGACGCUCAUGCACGAAAGCGUGGGGAGCAAACAGGAUUAGAUACCCGAGUAGUCC
rnacentral:rRNA from 1 species